AAAAAUUAAUUAAUCACUCUCUUAAAACAAAAGACAAUCAUAAAUACGGGAGCGGAAUAUCCCAGGGCAGUGGAC